rnacentral:rRNA from 1 species
GGUGAAAUUCUUGGACCGUCGCAAGACGGACAGAAGCGAAAGCAUUUGCCAAAAAUGUUUUCAUUAAUCAAGAACGAAAGUCAGAGGUUCGAAGGCGAUCAGAUACCGCCCUAGUUCUGACCAUAAACGAUGCCAGCUAGCGAUCCGCCGACGUUCCUCCGAUGACUCGGCGGGCAGCUUCCGGGAAACCAAAGCUUUUGGGUUCCGGGGGAAGUAUGGUUGCAAAGCUGAAACUUAAAGGAAUUGACGGAAGGGCACCACCAGGAGUGGAGCCUGCGGCUUAAUUUGACUCAACACGCGAAAACUCACCGGGCCCAGACACCGGAAGGAUUGACAGAUUGAGAGCUCUUUCUUGAUUCGGUGGGUGGUGGUGCAUGGCCGUUCUUAGUUGGUGGAGCGAUUUGUCUGGUUAAUUCCGAUAACGAACGAGACUCAGCCUGCUAAAUAGUUCGUCGAUGGCACUCUGUCGGCGCUAACUUCUUAGAGGGACAAGUGGCGUUCAGUCACACGAGAUUGAGCAAUAACAGGUCUGUGAUGCCCUUAGAUGUUCGGGGCCGCACGCGCGCUACACUGAAGGAGUCAACGUGUCUGCUUCCUGAUCCGAAAGGACCGGGCAACCCGAUGAACGUCCUUCGUGCUAGGGAUUGGGGCUUGUAAUUCUUCCCCAUGAACGAGGAAUUCCCAGUAAGCGCGAGUCAUAAGCUCGCGUUGAUUACGUCCCUGCCCUUUGUACACACCGCCCGUC